rnacentral:lncRNA from 1 species
AGCAUGACAUUUGGGCAUUUUACACAAUUUUCUCUCAAAGAGGAAAUAUUGACGGGCUGUUUUACCCACAGAUCAUUGAGUCAGAUAGAAAUCAGUGCGCUGCACCUGACAUUUUGCAGGAAACCUCUCAUCAUCUGCUAAUUAAAUGUUUUGCUCUCCUAACAUCAAUCAGCAGCAGUUCAGCACACUUUUGGCAAACUUAAUUCAAAGCUUUUGAUUUUGUAAACAGCAUUUUUAUCACUCCUAAAAAACGGACAAGUUUGUGUGAGACCCUGAACUCAGUUGUCAGAGUCAUAGUAAGAAAUGUUACCCUCUGUGAGAAAGGGAUGUUGCUAUGCAGCCUGCCAAUCACAAAGCCAUCACUGGCUAAAAAGAGAAGAAGGUAAUCUGUGUGUGUAUGCUAUUUAUUGCAUUGCCAUUUUGUAUUUAAUUCUCUGUUUAUGUCCUCGACAUUUGUGAAGUAAGUAAUUGUGAUCCAUUCAAAUGCAGUUGGGUUUGUGCAAAUUGGGUCGGGAAAUGUUAAGGCCAGGACUGUCAUUCCAGCCUUGAUCAUUUCAAUUUUUCAGCCAUUGGCUUUUUCCAGAAACAUGAAAGGGGGUGGAACUUGAAAGGCAAAGUUUGAAAGCCUUCUGUAUCAUUAACUUUCAUUUCAUACAGCAAACAAACGAGAGAAUCGAUUUGGGAUGAAAGUGAGUCAUUGGCCUUGUCACUACUACUUAAGGUCACAAGGGUAAUUAAUUUGUACUGAGGAGGAAGUCAAAUGCUGCCAUGGACACUCCCCGUCUCCCCGAGCCAUCAUCUUAGUGCCGAGCUUCUCUGGAUCAAAAGGCUGUCUUUUAGCCCCCCGCCUCCCGCUGUAACCCUUCUCUGUGAUGUCUCGUGUCUCAGGGCCUGCUGAGUAAUAGAGAUCAAGAGAUCGCAGUCAGAGGCCAACAGAUACCUGCCUUUGUGAAUAGAGCCACUCAGUAGAUGACAUGUUCUGGUCGUGUAAGGUUGUGAUGCUGUCAAGGAAGGAUGAAUUAAUUCUGGAGGACCAGGGUCUCAAACAUUUAAGUAAACGGCACAACAAUAACUAGAAUAUUUUUUAAAAAAAUGGUUAACAGUGUCACAAGUCUGCAAAUAUCAACUUUUAGUGAUAAUGGUGGUUGAUUUAGUUACGGUGUGCUUCAGUGUUUCAAAUUAGAUAUGAUAUAAGAUAUAUAUUAGAUAUAAAUUGAUUUUUUGCUUUAGAGCCGUGAAGUUAAGAGAUAACUUUUUGCUAAAAUUCUGAGCUUUCUUUUAAAAACAUUAGGGGUGGGAAUCACCAGUGGCCCCACACUACGAAAGUAUCACUGUACUUGGGCCACGAUUGCGAUUUUUAACAUUUUGCAAUACAGUAAGUAUUGCGAUACCAUAAAUUGCAAUUUAUACAAUUUUUUUCAACUGUUUAGCUGAUUUAGCAUUUCAUCUUUUCUUUAUCUUUGUCUUAUUUAUGCUGUAUUUUAUUUUCAUGUUGCACAUCUUGCAAACCUUAUAUUUAUUCGUUGUACUAACUUUCUCCUGCUCUAUGAUGUCACCUCUGCAAAACUCACUGGACAAACAGUUGAUUUUAUUUUUCCAUUAUCAUAGAUUUGACUUCAUAUUAACAAUUAAUUUGAAAAAAUCGAUACUCGGUAAAUGAGACGAUAUGAUAUAUCACCAGACAAAAUAUCGUGAUACUAUGCUAUAUCAAUUCUUUCUCCCACUCCUCAAAAUUAUGAUGUAAUUUAUUCAGUGCAUCUCCUACAAUUAUUCUCUGAAAGGAGGAGUACUACAAAAAUAUCCAGGAGCACAAGAAAGGAUGUGAAAUCUCUCAGUUUUAUUAUUAAAAGCUAACACUUACUCAUGACAUUUGCAUCCUAAUAACUGGGAGAUAUGUUGGAACUAAGAUGACACCAUAAACCCAAUCAUCAUAAUGAGAUUUAUGGGGGGAAAGUGUUGCCUUCAGUGGUUUAGCACACACAGAAGGAAGAGCAGUGUAGGCGAACGUGUCAGGGACGCAGUUGAUAUAUUCACAUAAGCAUCAGUAUGCUCUGUCAUGCCUUUCAGUGGUGCAAAGAUAAGAGAGGUGCAGAUAACAGAAACUAUGAAUGUGUAAUCCUACAGUUGUCUCUGCUUUUUUGGUACUUUUCUCUUGAUAGACUAUACUGUACGUUCUAUUAAUUUUUUCCUCUCAUUUAUUUCAGCAUGCUGGGUGGUGUGUGUAGUCAGAUGAAACGGUGUCAUCAGUCAGUUAAAUGUACCGGAGAGACGCAGUUUGAGCAACGACAAUGGCUAAUUUCCUCUCUUCAUCCUGUCUCACUCCAUAACCGGCCUGUCGUACACUUACAUUUAUCUGCUGCUUUAUCAGAUGGGAUCUCUACAUGUUGUGUUUGGAGUAUUAUGACUAAUAAAUACAUAGCUCUUUUUCCAUGUUUCACAGAAUAUGUCUCAUUAUCAUCUCAGAACUUUUUUGAAACUACCUUUGAGUCCAAGCAGGGAUUUUACUGUUAAGUCCUUGAGAAAAUCAAUUUUGUGAAGCUCCCUGGAGAUCAAAAAUGGUUUUGCCUAGUGUACUGUCAUCUCUUCAUGUCAGAAUUACAUUAUCCCUCCAGCCCGGACAAAAUUGAGGAGGCAGGACAGUGCUUCAUGACAUACGAGGGAUGUUUUUGACGACUGACUUGUGUUUUGUUUUGUCCCAGCAGGUUUGAGCACUUGUACCAGCAGUCUUUUUUUAUGUCGCUCUUGCCGACAUGAUCCCUAUUAUGCAACGUUAAGC